rnacentral:snRNA from 1 species
GUGCUUGCUUCUGCAGCACAUAUGCUAAAAUGGCAAUGAUACAGAGAAGAUUUGCAUGGCCUCUGUGCAAGGAUGAUGCAAAUUUGUGAAGUGUUCCAUAUUUAA